CCGGGGGGCGGGGCGAGCGAGCCGCGGCGCUUCCGCUUUACACGCCCCAGCCGGCGACCGGUUCCAUCUGGCUCGGGCCACUCUGACACCUUUAGUUUCGGUCAACUCAAGGUAGACAGUGUGGCGACUGGAGAGGUCGGGGAACAAGCUUUGUUUCAGCUAAGGGGAAAACAAGCGUUCACAGGAGUCCCCUGACACCUCCCACUCGGAAGAUAGCUAACGGGGGUCCUGCCAACCCUUCCCAUCCAACUUCCAUCUGAAAAGGAUUUUCUGCUAAAGUUGGGUCCAUGGCCAUCCAGCACCUGUAAGGCCGGCAGGAGCGUCUGCCCUCUACUCAGUUAAAGCCUGAAGUCGUUUCCUUUCGAUGGCCCUUAGGAGGCCCAAAAGAGGGGCGACAGAACAUGAUGUUGACACGGGCUGGGCGCCCCCAGAAGCCCGGGAACAAACGUUUCUACUUUCCAGGUCCACUGGUGUUUGGUGUACCCAUGUGACUAAUUUGUCCAAAGAGAGAUUUCUGUGAAUAGACCAGAAGCCGACCUUUACAGUGUGUUUGGGUGCAGAUUCUAGAGGAUGUCUGUGUGCCUUUCUCCCCUUUCAAACGAUAGGGAAGAUAUACUGAGUCCUGUCUUCAGCUAGGGGAUGCCCUGGCCUCCUUCCUAUCUUCAAAGCCUGCAAGAGUGGGCUGAGUCCUUCUCACUCCACCCUCUUCUUUUGUGUACCUUUUCCACUUGUAAGGACCCUUGUAAUUGCAUUGGAUUCACCUGGAUAACCCAGACUGAUCUCCCUAUUUUAAGCAGGUAUCAAUAGGAAGUUUUCAGUCAACCACAAGGUCUCAUAAUCCUUCCUGGAACUAUUCUUGAAUAGUUUGCCGUCUGAAAUGUUGAGAGCUUGCCCCUUGGAUAACAUGCCCCUUGGAUAACAACCAAGUCAGUUCAUGAGCAAGCAGUGGCAAACACUGUGUCCCACCAGCUCCUGACUGACUGAGACUACACGAUACCAUUCAUCAUUAAGAUGUACCUGGAUUUCAAGCAUGUUACUGUGAAAAAUAAAAUGGAGUCUUAGAAAUGAUGAUAUAAGUAGAAUUUAUUUUUUGUCUCUGAAAGACGAAACUCCUAAUUUUUAUAACCCCUACUAUUUAUAAUAAAAUACUGAAAAGAAAUAGUUAUUUUUAAUCACACCAAUAGGCCAAAUC
rnacentral:lncRNA from 1 species